rnacentral:rRNA from 1 species
CCUACGGGAGGCAGCAGUGGGGAAUAUUGGACAAUGGGCGCAAGCCUGAUCCAGCCAUGCCGCGUGAGUGAUGAAGGCCUUAGGGUUGUAAAGCUCUUUUGCCAGGGAAGAUAAUGACUGUACCUGGAGAAUAAGCCCCGGCUAACUUCGUGCCAGCAGCCGCGGUAAUACGAAGGGGGCUAGCGUUGUUCGGAAUCACUGGGCGUAAAGCGCACGUAGGCGGACUUUUAAGUCAGGGGUGAAAGCCUGAGGCUCAACCUCAGAACUGCCCUUGAUACUGGGAGUCUUGAGUAUGGUAGAGGUUGGUGGAACAGCAAGUGUAGAGGUGAAAUUCGUAGAUAUUUGCUAGAACACCAGUGGCGAAGGCGGCCAACUGGACCAUAACUGACGCUGAGGUGCGAAAGCGUGGGGAGCAAACAGGAUUAGAUACCCUGGUAGUCCACGCCGUAAACGAUGGAUGCUAGCCGUUAGCCAGCUUGCUGGGUAGUGGCGCAGGUAACCCUUUAAGCAUCCCGCCUGGGGAGUACGGUCGCAAGAUUAAACUCAAAUGAAUUGACGG